GAUGAACGCUGGCGGCGUGCCUAAUACAUGCAAGUCGAGCGAACGGACGAGAAGCUUGCUUCUCUGAUGUUAGCGGCGGACGGGUGAGUAACACGUGCAUAACCUACCUAUAAGACUGGGAUAACUUCGGGAAACCGUAGCUAAUACCGGAUAAUAUUUUGAACCGCAUGGUUCAAAAGUGAAAGACGGUCUUGCUGUCACUUAUAGAUGGAUCCGCGCUGCAUUAGCUAGUUGGUAAGGUAACGGCUUACCAAGGCAACGAUGCAUAGCCGACCUGAGAGGGUGAUCGGCCACACUGGAACUGAGACACGGUCCAGACUCCUACGGGAGGCAGCAGUAGGGAAUCUUCCGCAAUGGGCGAAAGCCUGACGGAGCAACGCCGCGUGAGUGAUGAAGGUCUUCGGAUCGUAAAACUCUGUUAUUAGGGAAGAACAUAUGUGUAAGUAACUGUGCACAUCUUGACGGUACCUAAUCAGAAAGCCACGGCUAACUACGUG
rnacentral:rRNA from 1 species